rnacentral:misc_RNA from 1 species
UCUGGUUUCGAUAUUUUGACGUGCGUAAAAUUAUUAGCGAUUGCUGUCACAUUGUUAAUUUGAAGGUUCUAAAAUUAGAAUGCACUUAGUUCACGUAAAGAUACGGCAUUCCGCAUGAUUUCUCACAGCAUGGGUAUUUUUCUUUUGUUACUUAUGAAAUGAUUGAGUUGAUAGAUGCACAGCUGUAUUAUCAAGUAGCUUUUGCAGAAUACUUUUUUUGAGCGUUUAUCAUCGUUUUGCAUUAUACUUCCAUUUAAUCAUUAUGUAGUUAAUGGAUCCACCUCAGAUUAUUGCCGAAGCUUAUUGCAUUACAUGUCAGCGACUGUAUUGGGCAUAGGUACUUUAGAAUUGCAUAAAAAACAAUUUCAAUGGCUGAUAUUGAGAAUAAAGUUCCAAAAAAAGAUGUCAAAAAACGAAUGGUAAAAGCUCUAUAUAGCUACACACCUGAAAAUAUAGAUGAAUUGGAACUAAAAGUGAAUGAUAUUUUAGAAGUAAUUGAGGAAACGGAAGAAGGAUGGUGGAAAGGAAUUCUAGAUGGAAAUGUAGGAAUGUUUCCAUCUAAUUUUGUUAUUGAAUUAGAUGGUCUUCCUGAAGAAUUCAAUAAUCAAUUUAUGAAUGAACUAAGUCCUACAAAAAAUGCAUCAAAAGUAAAAAAUGUGGGCCAUCAAGAACCUUUGCAUAGGCACGGUGCUAAUCAUUCGCCAGUAAACAAACAAGAAAAAUCGGCAAAUACCCAAGCUAUUAAUUCUAAUUCUGAAGAUGUAAAUGAUGGAUUAAAUUAUUCUAAAUCUGCUCCAGACUCAAAUGAAAAAAAGAUUAUUACAAUAAAUAAAAAAUCAUUGCCUGAUUCUCCUGCCCCUCGGCUUCCUCCAAAACCAGUUAGGGAGCAAGCUGUAGUGAUGUUUCCAUAUAAAGCACUCAAUGAAGAUGAACUGACACUAAAAGAGGGAGAUAUAAUAACUGUCAUAUCAAAAGAAAUAGAAGAUAAAGGAUGGUGGAAAGGGGAAUUAAAUAACAGAGUUGGUGUAUUUCCUGACAAUUUUGUCAAACUUCUAAAAGUAGAAGAACAAAAAAAGCCUGAGAGGCCAGAUAAACCUGCUGUGGCCACUAAAGCCAGCUUGAAAUCAGCCACUUCAGAAAAGGCAACUUCUGAGUGCUCUCCUAAACUAGAUAAAAAAACAACAAAAACAGCUCCUGCCAAACCACCUCCACCUGAAAUUCAUAAAAAAGAACCUGAAAGACCAUUACCACCAUAUCCAAGCAAAAAACCCCAAUUGCCUCAUCCUAUGAAAAAACCGAGCAGGUCCUCUUUAGGAAUAAAGCUUCCCAGUUAUCUUCCACCAACUACAACUAGUUCCGUGAAGAGUCCUGUUUCAGAGAACAGUCAGAGUUCUGUAACAGUUCCUCCUACACUUGAUUUAAAGGCAGAAGAAGGAACCAAAACAAAUGAAAAAGUUUCUAAAUCAAAUGAAAAACAUGAUAAAAAAAUUUCAGAUGAACUAGGUUUUGAUGCUGUAGAAUCAAGUGGCAAAAAACUUGUGCAUUUGACUGCAAACCGUGUUAAAGCUCCCAAUAGACGCCCACCAUCGCACAUUUUUCUUAAAGACAAUGAAAAAGAAAAUGGUAUUGCUACAGAUCCUAGAAGACUUAGUGAGCCAUUGCUUGCUGAAAUGAAAUCGUUGUUACCUCUUGUAGAUACUGAUACAUUUAAGACAAAUAUGCCUCCUAGCAUAGAAGUGAAAACUAAAGUCCCUCCUUCCAGACCAUCUCCUCCUAAUAUUAUCAAUAAUAAUUCUUCAAAACAAGUUGCCGUUGCCAAGGAAAGUAGCAAUAGUGAAGAUUCAGUUAUAAAAGCUAUAGAAACUACCAAGACAAGCACAUCACUAGAUACAUCUACAAAUAUAUCAAGAAAUGAAAUCUUGCAGCCUCGUGUUCAGCCAUCUGGUAGCCUUUUUAAUCCAGUUCCAGGUCCAUUGACAAAAGGUUCUCACCCACCAGAAACUGAGUUACAUGAUAUAAAAGACAGUCUAAAAAUGGUAAUGGGAACAAUGGUGAGCAAGAGUGACUACAAUGAACUGUUGAAACAGGUUAAGGAACUGAAAGAAAUUUUGGAAACAUACAAUAAUAACUGCAACAAAGCCAUAAUUGGCUUGAAAUCAGAAUUGGAAGAAGAGAAAAAACUGCGCAGAGCUGUUGAAACGGAGCUUCAACAAAUAAAAGAACGCCAAACUACCUAACAUCAAAGCAAAUUAGAAUAUUUUGAAAAUAUGCCAAUAUUGUCCUUUCAGAAAUUGGUAAGAAAAAUGUAUUUUCAAAGCAUGAAAAGUGAUAUGACUAAGUAAUUUGGAAGAAAUGCAUGUUAUUUAUGAAGACACUGCACCAAUUUGAAAUACAUUGAAAUUAAAAACACUUGGUUAACAUACUUUUAUUAUGCACUAGAAGUAUGCUGUUAUGUAUUAGGAAAGAUGAAAACUGGCAUCAUAAAUUAUGCACUUGUAAACUAGUUAAAACCAUGAUAUUUAAACUCAAAACUGUUAUAUUUAUUUUCGCACAUUUCUCCUGUUAGGUGGCAUUCCCAUGUAUUAUGAAAUGAGUAAUAUUUAAUUAACAAGUAAUUUUAGUAUUAUUUCCUUUUAAUUUGUGUUAAAUAAGUAUCUCCAACUUUAGUUUGCAGGUAUUAAAUUUUCUGAAACAGAAAUGGAAAGAAAGCACUGUAAUAAAUAAGUUUUUAUUAAAUAUUUAGAACCUGCAAAUAAUUAAAUUUGGAUGUGCAGAAAUAAGUAAUAAUAAAGUGGAAUAAUAUUUGUCUGCUGCCAUGGAACACCGUUUUCUAUUUUGAAUUUCAAGUUGUGGAUUUUUCACCCAAAAUUUAGUCUUUCAGCCACUGAUCGUGACCAAAUUUUGAUAAUAUUUUUUUAAUUUUUAAUGUAAAUCAUAUAUAUUUUGUGUGAAGAAAAAGAUAAAUUAUCAAAAUUGCAUCUCAAUUUGAUCUGCAGCUGUAAGACCAAAUUUUGAAUAAAAAAUAGAGUGAAAAAUCAAAAUAUCAAAAUUUUGAUCAAUAUAGCGUGUAUUUUGUUGUAACAUCCUUAAAUUCUAGUGUUCCAUGGCAAAAGACAUUAAACUGCUAAACAAUGUUAUUGUACAAUAUGUGAAUAGCUAAGAUAAUCUAAAUUAACUGAUGAACUUCUGGUUAUGGAUAAUUUUCCUAUCAAUGGACAAAGUUAUGAAUUAGAAAUAUAAAUGUUCUCGUGAGUUGAGGAAUUUUUUAUUAUAUGGAAAUAAGUAAGACUGAAUAGCAAUAAUUAAUUAGCAUAAAAAUAGCUUUUUUCAUAAUUUUAUAAUUAGAUCAGUUCACUUUUGAUUAAAGAAUAAGCUUGCAUGCAGAUAUAUAUUUGAAUUAUUGAAGUGAAUAUUCAGUAUAAUGUAAUUUAUGUAAAAACAUGUAUUUCACCUAAGUUUGGGAAGUACUUAACACAUUUGCUGCUGAUCAUGCACUGGUGUGUGAUUGGCAUUAUUGCUGAAGAGCCAAUCACGCUCUGACAUGUAAUGUGGUGUGUUGUCUCAAGUGCAGGUAAUGCUCGUGAGGGGAAAAGCAACCUCUGAUUGUUUAAUUUUGAGUUCAAUCGGCAUUAGGAUUUGAAUAUGCAUGCUGCUAUUGGCAUGGAGUGAAGGUUAGAAACUAGUUGUAAAUGUAUGUUGUUUUUGUUUAAUUUUGAGUUCAAUCGGCAUUACAAUUUGAAUAUGCAUGCUGCUGUUGGCAUGGAGUGAAGGUUAGAAACUAGUUGUAAAUGUAUGUUGUUUGGAAUGAAAAUAAAGUUUCAUUCCAUGCAAAGAUCAUACACGAAUAACAUUUUGAAAUAUAUAGUUUGCAAUAAUAUCAUUGUAACUGUCUUAUAAUAAAUUCAUGUGUAAUUAAUUAUAUAUAUAUAUUUGUUUGUGAUAUAGUUUCAUACAAAAAUAAUACAUAUUGUUACUUAUUUGGAUUCAUUUUUAAAUGCCAAACGCCAGUGUGAAAUGUGGCAUUGCAGAAAUAAUUCUUAUAAUAAGUAGGUUGGCAUAUGGGUACAAUCUAUUUCUACAACACAGCAUUAACUAUUAACACAACCCUCACAUAACCAGCAGUGAAAGUGUUAAUUGCUAAGUCAGCAGAAUGCAUUAUAACAGAAAACUGUUGCUCAAUCAAAUAAGCAUUUAUAUUAGCAUUAAGGCCAAGAAUGUUAAAAAAUUUGCCUUUUUUCCCCCAUUAACUCCUUAUUUUGACUUUAUUACAAUGAUUUUUCUUUCUCUUUUUAUGAUUGAAAGCAGUCAGUAUACUAUAUUAUUGUUUUAAAGAAUGACUGUGUUUAAUAAAUUAAAAAGAAAAGGGGGGAAAUGAUUCUGAACCAGACAAAAUAUAAGCAUAAACAUGAAAUUGUCACUAUCAAAAUGCCAUUCACUAUAGUAUUGGUACGUGUAAGUUAAUUAGACUAUAUUUGCUACAUUGUGCAUACAUUACAUUUGCUAAACUACAUUUUGCUAAGUAUGUUCAUUAGCGAUUAUAUAAGUAACUUUAUUCCAUAAUUUUCCUUACAUUUUUUUACUGUAUUAUAUAUUUUUGUAAUUAUUUGACACUAUAUUCAGUAUGAAAAUAAUUUAUUAAAUAUGUAUGUUUAUGUCAGUUCUUUUGAAAAUUUAUGACUUUGUAAAUUAAUUUGUAUAGUCUUGUUAAUCAUAUCCGAGCUGCAAUUGAUCAGUUUUCUUAUGUCAAGAUCUUUUGAACUGCCUGUGCUUUCAUUGCAUUUAUUCAGUGUUUUUUGCCAGUGAUUUGCAUCAUUUGUAAUUUUAAAUUAAGAACUAUUUGAAUUAGCUUUCUUAUAAAUAUUAAGUUUAAUAUGCAUGCCUUUCUUAUUAUUCUGAGUUUUAAUUCAGUUAAAAGCGUAUUUGUUAUAAGCUAACAAUUUAGAUAAAUAUUUUUUUCAUAACUGGAAGAUACAAAUAUUGAUUUUCAUUAUGGGGAAAUAUUAUAUACAUUUCAGAUUUGACUUAUUUAGUGUAUUUAAAAGAAAUGAGGUGUCCUGUUCAAUACGUUCUGUUUAUUUUUUCCCAAUAGUUAAAAGUUUAACAAGAGACUUAAGAUAUCAUGCACCUCAAAUGUUCAAAAAGUAAAAUUUUUAUGAUAUUGGAUCUGAUUUUUUAGUACAUGUGUUGAUCUGUAACAUGAAAAUCUAACAUUAUAGAACUGUUAAUACUUACAAAAAAUUUUAUAAAACCAAAUGUAAAAAAUAAAAAUAAGUGCUGUACAUGACAAAAAUAUUUAAAACCUGUGGUGAAACAUUUAUAUUUUGAUGCAUGAAUUGAACAGUUAAGGUGCUUGUGUUUCUGAAAUAUUAAUAGUAGAAAGAAUUUAAUUUCAUACAUUCAAAGUAUAAAUACUGAGUCUGAAUAAAUAUGUUAAUUGUUCCAUCCUUUCUUUACUCUUUCAAAAUACUUAAAAAUUCAGUUUUCAGGUCUAGUCAGUUUGUAUAUGAUUUACUAGGCUGUUUGCACAUUUUCAUUGUAAUUACAAAAAUAUUUUAUCUAAAAUUUUUAUGUUUCAAAUGUUCUAUCCCUUAUUCUUUACUUUUAUAUACACCAUAGGAGGUUGUAGGUCAAUGCUUGGAUAACCUGCUUUUUAAAAGCACAAAAAGGCGUUGGUGAUAGGUCAGGAAAUUUAGUAAGAAAAUUAGUAAAGGGUAUGGCCUUGAUACCUUGGAUUUUAGUUUAUAAUUGUUCCAUUAACAGUAGAUUUUGACGUGCCACUGUUUGCUUUAUCUUGAUGCAGUUCUACUGAUUGAUCACACUGUGUGUAAAGAGAAGGUAUUUCAUAUUUGAAAAAUUGGUGUAAAAUAUGUUUUUGAUAAUAUGUGGAGAUGAUCUGAACAUUUUUCUCCAUUUUCUUUAUUUUUAAUUUCCCAUAUAUGAAAAACCAGGAACAAUCAUAAAUCCCUUAGGAAAACUUUCUUUAGAUUCCUUGGACCGUGUUUUAAGAUUUUUUUUAUCCUCUCUGAUGAUGAUAAAUGGAUCUCUUUUUAUCACAGUCAUUUAAGUACACCCAAGAUUCGUCUAUUGUGGUAACAUUUUUCCACAUGAAGAAUUCUGCAGUUCAUUCUGCAUUAUGUCGUGGAGAAAGACUUUUCACCUUAAGAUUCAAAUCAGCAUUAAUCCUUUUUUUUUUUUUUUUUUUCAGUUGACACUGAACAUUUUACUGAUUUUGCAACUGUACUUGGUUUUAUUUUAAUAUUAAAUAUCUUACUUUUGCAACAUUCUGUUUUUUACAACAUUAGCUAUCGUAGCUUUAGAUAUUGAAAAACCGUGUUCAUGAUGUUUUUUAAUAACUACAUAUAAAUAAUUUUCUUCCAAAAGAACACAAGCAUAUCUUUCUACCCAUUACUUCUCUAAAAGCGACAUUCUGCAUGGAAACAAAACUGUCAAGUAGCAGACAAUAAAUUAUACUUUCAAAAAUAUAGUUUCAGUUAAAAAAAUUUCCAAGUAGAUGAUUUUUUGACAGCAAAGCAAAAUUAUCUAAAAAAUAUGCAAGCAGCCUAUUAUUAAAAGGUAAACUAUGCUAGAAAAUUUAUAUUUUCUUGCAUAGUUAUCAGUAUUAGUCAGAAUAUUGGGAAAAUCUUGUUGCCUUAUUACCUUGCAAUUUAAUUUUUUUUAAAAAGUUCAUUAAUUUAAUCAUACAAAUAUUCAUUUUACUCAUUUUGGAGGAUAUAUAUACAUUAUUGGGGAGGUUCACUUGAAACAAAAUUAAAAUGUAUAGUGUUGAAAUUAUAAUUAUCAAAGCUAGCAAAUAUAUUUUAUUGAUUACAUUCAACUAUUAAUAUAGUUUUUAUUGCUCUAAUUAUAUGGCCUGAAAUCUUAGAGAGCUUAAUCGUUUCUUAUUAUCAGUAAUUAAAUGUUGAGUUUUGUACAUCACUAGAUUACUUGAAAUUAUGUCAUAUAUAUAUAUAAAGAUAGAAUUUUGGGGGAUUUUUAGAUAAAGUAUUUUCUAUAUCAGAUAUUGAAUUUCAAAAUAAUAAUUAGCAAAACUAAAGAAAAUUUUCAAUAAAAUGUUUUAAAUAUACUAUUACAGUUAUUAUUUUCUAUGUCUUUGAUUUUAGUAAUUUUAAUAAGUAUUUUUUAUUUUUAUAAGUUUUUAAUUUAAUUAAAAAUUUGAAUUUUAAAAGCAUUAGGAAUUAUAUUAACUUCAUUUUUCAAUUUUUUUACUGUUUCUGCCUAUAGAUGGCAUUACUCUCUUGUUCCCUUUGCUCUUUUUUGGGUAUAAAUGAAACUAGCUUUCCCUGCAUUGCAGAUUUCUUUGCUUCUGAUGAAGAGAUAUCUGUACUUGUUAAGCCCUUAAAAUCGAGUCUUGACCAUAUUCUAUGUCAAACACAACGUUGCUUUAGCUUAAUUUUAUGUUUUACUUUGCCAUAUUUCUCUUUGGUCUUGAACUUUAUAAGCUUUUAAUUAUUUUAUUUAUCUUGAACAAUUUCUGGAUUAUUGUGAAUUGUUGAUUUUUUUAAUGAAAAAGUAAGAGUUGCCUCAAAUAUUGUUAAUCACCGGUUUGAUACAUUUGUAAUAGCCUUAGCACUUUUCAACCGUCCAUUCCUGUCCUUGAAUGAAACCUGACAAUGCAUAUACUUGCAUAAACUUUUUACCACUUUUAUUGCCUUCAAAUAUUUAAUUCUAUAUGCAGAUCUCUUACAAAUUUCAGCGUUUUCAUUAUACCUGUCUUGCACAUUAGCUUUUUCUGCAUUCCAGACUUUUGUACAUUAUUAUAUAUAUGAAUAUUUUAGCUUGUGUUUCUGCACAAUAUAUCUGAAAAUGCACAAUAUUGACUUGAAUAUUGGGAUAGGAGGAAAAACUUUUACAUUCCAAGAGAUGAUAUGAUAAACUUUUGUUAUUUGCUAGAAUAUUACAAGUUUUGAAAUGUUUACAGUUUUUUGUGCAUUUAAAUUUUAUAAAUAAGAAUUAGUUUUGUCAUAUUUGAUUUGUUUUAAGCAAAAUAAUAAUAAUAACAAAUAAAAGGAAUUGUGAUUAAAUUCCUUCUGUUUCAUCAAAGUAUGUCUUCUAAAUUGUAUGCAACAAUUUAUUUUUUUGCCUUUCAUUUCCAUUAUGAUUCAUAAGUUGAAAAUUAUUUAAUGUUUAUGUAGAUUUUAAACUUCUGAAACAGAUGAAAACAAUCAUGUAAUUUCUGGCAAUGUGUUAAUGCUUAGGAAAUGUGAUGUGUUACGUACUAAGACAUUUAUUGCUUGUUAAGACAGAAUAUAUAGUUAUCAAUUUUUAUAGGUGAUACUGUUUUUAAAAAUAUCAGAAUUUAUAUGUUUCAGGUGUUGUAAAUAUUUGUACAUAAAUGCGAGUGGCAGAUUGUGAAAACUUUUAAUGCCACAUAUGACUUAAUGAAUCCUUGUGCAAUUACUACACAUGCAUUUAACAAAAUAUCAAAUUUUCAAACUAUGUAAAAUAUAUCUGAAAUAAAAAUCAAUUUCUAAAUAUAGUCAUUUGGACUUGAAGAUCUCGUGUAUGAGAGCUAUACUUGUUAUUAUAUUAGCAUAUUUUAAAAGGAUAGUGACUGAAAAAAAGCUAUACCAUUGCCAUGCUCUAAUGUUAGAUUUUGAUAUGUAGUUUAUUGUGGUAUCUAAUAUGAAAAAAAAAACUGCACUUUUCGUACAGCUCAGUUUUUUGCAUUUUGAAUAUUUAGUACUUUUUUAUGAUUAAAUUAUAUAUGUGCUUGCUUUCAAAAUGUUUGUGUGAAUCUUAUAUACCUUAUGUUAAAUAUAUUCAUUCUCAGCUGUGCUGAUGGAAAUGUCAUCUUAACUGCAAUCAUUGUUUUGUUCAAAAAAUAAAUAUUUUAUUUAUAA